GUAAAUGCUGAGUUUGUUUUCUUGAGGAUGGGUCGAUGCCUAGUCUAUGUGGGUAUCAAGAGCAGGAAGUUGUGUAAAGUGUAUGAGAUGACAAGCGAGGAUCGACGGUUGGGUCGUCUCCAUCCUUGUAUGAUGAUUUGGCCUCCCACAUUCCAUGCGCUCAAGGAUGGUCCUGCAAGGUUUGUCUUUUGGCCUUUGGGUGAUGUUAUUGUAUUUUGUUUUUGUGUGGUCGCAUUAGAAGCAUAGAUGAAACAUUUAUAAUAGGAGGAUGAGGGUGUCCCCUGUAUAUGGGUGCUUGGUCGGCAUGCUGAGAAGGAAAAUGGAGGAACUGGGAAUAAGUAUGCAAAUUUAGAGGAAUGGGGGUUUGCUUCUGAACUGUGAUCCUCAAGAUACCAUGUCUCAGAUUGUUAUACCCUUGUUUUCGAAAUGUUGUCGUAUAAUAGAGUUAAGGGGUUUUCCUGGAAGCAUUCUUGUGUUUAUGCAUCAAACGUUUUACACUGGCAUGCUUGUGUUUAUGCAUCUUUUCUGAUUGAGAUGUAUCGCUACAAACUUCUUGCUCUUAUAUGACAAGGGUAUAACAAUAUAAUCUAACAACUUGUGCAAUAGGUACAUGGUUGAUGUUCCUUUCACCCUCCUCCAUGACCAUGCUGUAUGUUUUAGUUGGCAUUCAAUCUGUAUUUCUGGAAGAGUUCUUACCAUUUUGACGUUUUCUUUCCGCGCGAUAAUCAUCUGACCUCGUUGUACAACCAGAUGUCUUUUCACUUGUUUUGAUAUUGUCACCGUUAAUUGUCGCCAUCCUUAUUAUUGGUCUGCUUUGCUUGGAACAGCGAUGCCAUGUGAAGACGAGGAAGGCCUUGGAUCAAAGAAGAGCGACUACAGCUGGGUGGUGCGGUAGCGAAAACCCCUCAUCUUAGAGAAGCGAGUGCAUUGUCUGUUAGCUGUGUUUUGAGUCGGAGACAAGUUAUUGCUCGGUAAUGGAUUGGGAUGGUGGAUAAAACUGGAUUGGGUGCUCCUAUUAUUGUUUUGAACAGACAUGUAUGUUUGUUUUGAACAAGUUGUGUUUUUUUAACUUUCCAGUGUAUUGUCCAUUGCAAAACCUGUGCUGGACUCCAUUGGCAACGUGCAUGUGGUAUCGAUCUGCUGAUCAUAUUGAGGCAUUAGCAUUUGUUGCCAGGAGUAAGAGUAAGACAUUUAUUUUGAACAGACCUCUGUAUGUUUGUGUUGCCCGUGGAGUAACAAGAUACUUAUGGAAUUUUUUUUUGCGAAACAAUACUUAUGGAAUUACAGGAGCACAACAUCAAAAUUGGAAUGACCGUCAAGAAGAUAGUUAUAGAUUACUUGGUUGUAAUCCCUUGUCGUUCUUUACUCGAUGGUAGGCCCUCCCUUGUUUUUCAAAACGGAAAAUGAUUUUGAUCUCGACACUGAAUUUCUGUUACCUUGUUGCGGAACAAAACAUCUUGCUUUAUUAUCAUAUUGAAUUUAUUAUUUAUCUCGAUCAGCUGAGAACUAACUAAAUCUCAAUCAAUUCCGCGACCAUUAGAUGCUGACGCGGUUCUGUAUAUAUACACAACCAAGCUAGCUACAUGAGUCAAUCUCAUCGAUUCGGUAAAGAGACUACUCAACUCAUGUUAACCGUAUUUGCUUAUUUAUAAAGUUGGUCGUAUGCAUCAUUCUGAUGCAGAGGCCGGGGAGCCCCCCCCCCUUCGAAAAAAACUCAGUUAACAUACUAAAGGAACUCACGUGUACUACUAACUUCUCUUCCACACUAACAAACUAACUAACCUAUCUACAACUCAAGAAACGAAAAGAGAGAACUGUAUUAUUGGUACCUCAACUAAUCAACAAGUGCGGAUUUCAUCCCUUAAAGCAUGCUAUGAUUAGUAGUGACUUUAAAUUGGUCCAUGGGUUUAGCCAGCCAACACUGUCAUAGCUGAAUCGGUUGCUUUUGUUUCUCGUGUUUUCAAUUUAGAUUUGGAAGUUUGUAACACCAUCUUUUCUGGCUCUGUCAUUUUUUUUGCGGGGGUAAAGGAGAUUUUCAUUACUCACGGGGGCCUCUCAGCCACAGCCAGGUUUACAAUGAAGUCUAACCCCGAGUGCAACCACACUGCGGUUCGGGGGGUACAACGGCCAUAAGCAGCAAGUUCAUGACUAAUCUUAUUCUGCGAACGACGACAAAGAGUAAAAGAAAUCUCCCUAUCCUCAGUUGAGGCCAAGCUUUUAAUCUCCUGGAUCACGAGGCGAUGUACUGAUCUAUCAUCGGAAUUUGCUAUGAUCAGCGACACUGCCUCAGAACUAUCUAGUUCUACCGAAAUUGGCAGCGUCAUCCGGUGGAGGGCUAGCUCCAGCCCCUCCCUACACGCCGCGAGCUUGGCGCCCAGCGCGUUACCACAAGUACGGAGUUCAUGGCAAGCGCUAAAUAUGAUGUUUCCCUGAGUGCCCCGGAGGAUCAUCCCACCUCCUGCCAUACCUGUAGCCGGUAUGAAGCUUCCGUCUAUGUUCAACUUGGUCCAUCAUGUAGUAGGAGCGACCCAGCUCAGCUCCUCUUUAGCUAGGGCGCUGGCUGUAUGUGCUGGUGGCGCAAUAUUGAUCACCAUUUUCCCCUUCACAACAUCACCAUUGGGGUACUGCUUGAGGCACAAUAAAGAGCUGAUAUAUCCAUGUAGGAACCGCUGAGAGGACUCAGUUGGAGGUGGCCGUUUUUCAUGCGUGAUCUCAUUCCGCAUGUGCCAAGUCCUCCACAUGAUCAUUAGUAUGAUCAUACGCGUCGUCUCGUCCAAAGGCUCAAGGAGGGUGAACAGCCAUUCUGGCCCCGUGUUGCGAAUGGAUUCAACCCUCAGGAUGACCCAAUCUAGCGCCAUGGCAUGCCAAAGUUCCUUCGCAAGGGGGCACCUGCACAUCGCAUGGAACCCAUCAUCUCGUUCCACACCACAAAUGGGGCAUAUGUCAGAAAGCUCAAGAUGACGUGAGAAUUUAUUUGCCCAAGUAGCUAGAGAGUUGGUCACAAUACGCCAAGCAAACACGCGUACCUUCGGGGGAGCAGGGCACCCCCAUAUGGUCUUCCAGAUGGCGCGACGACCAUCCGGUGCCCUGCUCAUGGCGGUGGCCAAUGGACGCUUGCGCUCGUCCAUGGCAAAUCGAUAGGCGGAACGAACGGUGAAGAUACCGUUCUUCUCCGGCGCCCAGGCGAUGAUGUCGUCGGUGUAGCGCGGCGAGGUGCGAAUGCUGGAUAUCGUAUCAACGUCCGCCGGGAGGAAGUGUCGACGGAGAAGAUCCAUAUGCCAGGAACCAUCCGCCGCUAGAAGCUCCGCCACUCUCCUUAGCCGGCAGGUGCCUUGCUGUGUAAUAGGUUGGCGCGAGGGUUCCCUCGGCACCCAUCGGUCGCGCCAUAUCCGGAUGUUUUGGCCGUCUCCAACACGCCAUAUGAUGCCCUUUUUCAAGAGCUCGAGGCCAUACUGUAUGGCCUGCCAGGUCGAGGAUGCGUUCCCGGAGAACACUGUAUCCUCAAGGCGACCAUCUGGAUAAUACCGAGCUUUUAGUACCUGUGCACAUAGACUAUUAGGCUUAAUUAACAGAUGCCACGCCCGUCGAGCAAGGAGAGCUUGGUUGAAGAGACGGAAAUCUUUGAAGCCCAAGCCUCCCUUGGUCUUAUGCGCUAAAAUUUUCGGCCAUGCCAACCAAUGCGUUUUCCUCUUGCCCUCCACCGAUCCCCACCAGAAAUUCCGUACCAUUCUAUUCAAGUCGUCGCAGACUGACAUGGGUAGUUUGAAAACCCCCUGUCGGUGUCAAAACCGGCGGAUCUCGGGUAGGGGGUCCCAAACUGUGCGUCUAGGCGGAUGGUAACAGGAGACAAGGGACACGAUGUUUUACCCAGGUUCGGUCCCUCUUGAUGGAGGUAAAACCCUACGUCCUGCUUGAUUGAUAUUGAUAUUGUGGAUGUUUACAAGAGUGGAUCUACCACGAGAUCAAGGAGGCUAAACCCUAGAAGCUAGCCUAUGGUAUGAUUGUAAUGGUUGUUGUUGUUCGGUCCUACGGACUAGAGCCAUCGGGUUUAUAUAGACACCGGAGAGGGCUAGGGUUACAUAGAGUCGGUUACAAUGGUAGGAGAUCUACGUAUCCGUAUCGCCAAGCUUGCCUUCCACGCCAAGGAAAGUCCCAUCCGGACACGGGACGAAGUCUUCAAUCUUGUAUCUUCAUAGUCUUGGAGUCCGGUCAAUGAUGAUAGUCCGGCCGAUGAUAGUUCGGCUGAUGAUGGUAGUCCGGCUAUCCGGACACCCCCUAAUCCAAGACUCCCUCAGUAACCCCUGAACCAGGCUUCAAUGACGAUAAGUCCGGCGUGUAUAUUGCUUGGCAUUGCAAGGCGGGUUCCUCCUCCGAAUGAUAGAAGAUUGUGAACACCAGGAUAGUGUCCGGCUCUGCAAAAGUAAUUCCACAUUCCACCAUAGAGAGAAUAAUAUAUACACAAGUUCAAUCUGCUGACGUUUUUUGCGGCAUGACGUCACGCCACUACCAAGCCAUUACUUGAAUCGUUUUUUACUCUACCACCUGAGCGCAUUUAGCGAAGCGGUUUCCUUGGCACGUCUUGUCGAAGCAGAGAUCGUGUUUCCCCUUAAUCCAGGAUUCUCAUCAAUACGGACCUGGGUAACCCAACCGCGCCAUUGAUGGUGACGCUUGGGGGAUAAGCGAGUUUUACUAGGCCGGUGGGGGACGCGUAGACUUCGCCUGCCCAUAUAAGGGAUAAGGAUUCACCUUUUCACCUACGCCUUCUUCCUCCUUUGCUUAUCCAUCUCCGCCCACUCGAGCUCCAGCACCCAAGCCCGCACAUCUCGUCUCAACCUUCCCCAGUCAUGUCUGGAGCGGGAGGCAAGUGGAUGACCUCCUCCGUUACGGAGGAGCACAUCAAAAGACUGCGCAGCGCCGGCUACCUGUCCGGCGACAUUGCGCACCGGCUGGCCGACGAGGGGCAGCUCAUCCCCACCCCCAGGCCCCAUGAGAGGGUCGUUUUUCUUCCCCACUUCCUCCAUGGACUGGGCUUUCCACUUCACCCCUUUGUCUGGGGGCUCAUGUUCUACUACGGCCUGGAUUUCCAUGAUCUGGUGCCGAACUUCAUCCUCAACAUCUCAGCGUUUAUCGUCGUGUGCGAGGCCUUCCUCUGCAUCCAGCCCCACUUCGGCUUGUGUCUCAAGACCUUCAAUGUCAAGCCGAAGGUAGUGAAGGGCACUCAAGCGGAGUGCGGAGGCGCCAUGUUGGGCAAGAUGCCCAACGUCCUUUGGUUCGAAGGGGCCUUCGUGGAAUCCGUUAAGGGGUGGCAAUCGGGGUGGUUCUAUAUCACCGAGCCGCGCGACCCUACGUGGGCGGCGGCCCCCGAGUUCAGAUCUGGUAUCCCCACGCAGCUCACCUCCUGGAAAGAGAAGGGCUUGCUGUGGGGUAGUUCGGAGGAGCUGACGGGACUCCAAGCCUGUAUCCAGAAGGUGGUGAAGAAGCUCAGGCUGGUUAACGUGGUCCAAGUCAUGCUCGUCCGCCGGAUUCUCCCAUGCCAGGAGCGGGCAUUCAAUCUGUGGGAGUUCAAUCCGGAACAGCACCAGGCGCUGAGCGGGCUCUUCGACACGACGUACGAAGGCGCCUGGAGGGUGCUGUUUAAGGGCGCCGAAGCCCCCGCAUCCGCGACUGAAGAUCGCGGAUUUCGCUCGCAGCACCAAGCCGAUGAGGUAAGUGAUUCUACCCCUUUACGGGACACUUGCUUUUCAUAGUUUGACUCUAUGCGGGUUUUAAUUUCCCCUUUUCCUUUGACAGGACUGGAUGAGGAAGGCGGAGCAGAUUAUCUGCCUGGCUCCUAUGCCAGAAAACCCAGUAGACACCCAUCUAGCGAGGCUGCUGGUUUCGGCAUCGCACGUGGUGCCAGAGAAGAAGGCCAAGAAGGAGGCCACGGGUGCUCGAAAGAGUUCCCGUUUUCAGGUGUCCGACGACUCCGGGGCGGACUCCUCCCCCGAAAACGAGGAGGAGAAAGAGGACUCUCUCCCAGAGGAGGGAGAGAGGAAGAGGAAGGCUUCCCCAACAGGGGAGGCCGAAGGGUCCAAGAGGGGAAGGACUAUUCCCCCGGACAGCUCCGCCAACAUCAACGUUGGCGAGGAAGAAUGACCUUCAAGGGCCAAGCCUCCGGCGAGAUCGUAAGUAUCCGGAUUCCUGAAUGAUUUAUAAUUUCUUUUUCUGCGUCACAUAGUGUCAUUCUGAUGCCGCAUGCUGCCUGUAGUCCGGCCAAUGAUGAUCUCCCCGCUUCAUCGAGCGGGUCGUUGGCUCCGUUGGAUGUAGACUCCAUCCCGACCGCCUCCACCCCUCGCGACACCAAGGACGCCGAGGUGGGAUCCCAAGAAGGGACCCAUCAGGGGGAGGCUCCGGAGGCGCCACAAGGCGGCCUCCCGGACUUUGCGCCGGACUCCACAUCAGAACCCGCAGUGGUUCCGGAGUCCGGCCGGCGGCCCCUUCGCACGAAGGGCAAGACCGUGACGCCGGCAGCUUCCGUCCAACCGGAGGCGCCGGACAAUUUGUUGGAGGCGCUGCAGAGCACUUCCAUCGAGGAAGAACACCGCACUAUUAUGAGUGCGGUGAUUCAGAAGGUACAGCUUGCCAAGAGCGGGCUGACCGAAGCCUGCAGUAGCCUUCUAUCAGGCUUUGAGGUAAGAAGUUAAAAAUAUGCAAUGUAAUACCGCAUAGACAGCAGGCCCUGAUGCUCGGUUCGGUGUUCGGAAAGAAAAGUCGGACUGAGGAUCUAAAAAAAAGAAGAAGAUAUACGCAGGGUUUCUAAAAAAUUAUGUCAAUAUGGGUUGCAGGCUGCGCUGCUGACCUCUGCCGCACUGACUGCGGAGGUCGGUGCUUUGAAGCAGGAGCUCGAGCGGUCCGAGCAAGAGCUCGGCCGCGCCAAGAAGCAGCUCCAGGACAAAGAAGGUGAGUAACACCACUUUGAACUUGUACCUUACAGAAAAGGAUUUAGGUUGCAACAAAAAAUAACAAGGAUAACAUGGGUACUGCAGGGGCCACGAACAAGGUGGCGACCCUGAAGGAGGCCGUGUCCGCGGCCGAACGCAAUGCGGCCGCGGAACGGGCAGAGCGAGAAAAGCAGGAGGCGCGGGUGGCGGUGGUUCGGCAAGAGCUCCAGGCUCUCAUGGAAAAGCAUGAGAGUUUGGAGCGUGACUCAAAGACUCGAGAGUCCGAGCUUGCCUCGGCUCUCGAAAGUGCCAAAACUGCCAAGGCCGAUGCCCAUAAGUCCCUUCAGGAGAUUGAGUUGGUGAGGAAGAUAGCGGCGGGUAAGGCAUUUUUCAUGCAAAGCAAGCAUGUGAAUGUAAAUUACGUGUUACUUACCCGAAUUCGGAGCUCUCCAGGGGCGUUUGCAGAUCUGCCUCGCAGCGUGUCUGAUGCCGCCGCAUUCUACCGAGCCGAGGAGGGGAGCUCAACGGAGAAGGUCUUCUGGUCUCAGUAUGCUGAGGCCGGCCAUCCGGUGCCCCCUAGCGACCAGCUGAAGCAGCUGGUCGAGCUCCACAAGGUGGCCGAGCAGGCCAUGAAGGGCCUCAUAGUCCAGUUGUGGCCUGGAGAGGCCAUGUCUGGGAGCUACUUCGGCCUCGUGCGACGGUUGAUGGAUGCGUGCCCCUGGGUGGAGGUUAUCAAGCGCUCCGCCUGUAUUGAAGGUGCUCGUCGGGCCCUUGCCCGCGCAAAGGUGCAUUGGGGCAAGCUGGAUGCGGAGAAGCUAAUCACUGACGCGCCACUAGCGAGCAAGGAAUAUCGUACGCCCGAGAUGUACUAUAAGACUGUCCUGAAGGGUGCCCGCAAGAUUGCGGAUGAGUGCCCCAGGGAUGUAAUUAUUGAGUAAAUUCGCAAUGUGUUAUCCUGUGCGCUGAAAACUUUGUUCAUAUGCACUAAGCAACGCUUGUUAAUUUAAAAUAUUACUUUAUGUGCGGCCGUUUAUUAAAUCUGAGAGAUGGCAAGUCGUCGGCUUUAGCCCCCAUGCCACGAGUGCUGGGGUGUUCGGGAUAAACUUGAGCACUCUUGUUCCCAUUUUUGGGUCCAUCUAGGGAGGCGCUCAACACAACGAACAAGGCAACCGGACUUAUAGUGCUUGAACACUCUCACUUAGCCAUAGAAUUCUAUAAUUUUAAAUUUUGGCGAAGCCCCUAGUAUUCGGAAGACCGAAUUCGGGGCGCUAUCCACGCCUUCGUCGGACAUUAUCCGGUAGUUCGCUCGAAGCGGCGAAGGUCUUUAAGGACCCGAAAAGACCUCUCGAACAGCGACCAGUCUCUCGCCUUAUCAUGACAGUCAGUUUUAGCUUUCUCCACUGAGGCGUUAACCCGGCUCAACCGGGGCGCAAUCGCAGUGGUUCUCCCAGUGCUACCUUAGCCGAUAGAACGGAACGUAAGGUGCCAAACAUGGGAGCCGGGCAAACCCAACUAUUGACCCAAGACAUGAUUCGGAGCUGAUUCAUAUAAUGCUAUAAGUUCGGGGUGCCGCACUUGUGAAAGUGUGUGGACUUUAUCACACCAUAAUGCGGGGAACAUAAGCCCCUGGUGUAUUUGGCCGUACCAAAAUGUACGGAUGCAACAUGUCGUAAAUGAACAUAUAUAUAUAAGGUAACGCAAUUAUGGGCAAAAAGUGCUGCAUUUUAUGCGAGAAGAUUUGCUAUGAGUGCGGAAUGAUACAAAAAGUGCGGAAAGCAAGGGAUUGGAUGAAUUAAAGGCGUCUCCCCCCAGGGGUAGGCCGCGAAAUGGUGUAUUUAACAAAUUUAAUGCUCGUAAUGGAGACCACCUGAGUGUUCGUCGCAGCCUUUCUCCCUCCCUGGCUGUUGCAUCAUGAGUUCGGCAGGUUCGCCGCCGGACAGAGUUCUGUAUAAAAAAGAGAGAAAUAAAAGAUAAAAAGAGCGACACACUUGGGAGCCCCUGGUGUGGUAGAACCGCACUCUGGGUCUGUUGUGGUUGUGCCUCUCCCCCUAUGCCCAUGGUAUCUCCAGGGCGUAAUUAUAUACGCGGAGAGUUUGUCUUACAAUUGUGCGAGGGCUGGGGUUGAGGCCGCAUUGCUACGCAUGCUCGGAACGUGCCAGGUGGUCUUGGUUGAUGUUGCUCCGGGCGCGUUUGGCCGUGUCCGGUCGUUUAACGGCCGGACUCAAAAAUUGCCUUAAAAGGCCGCUCUGUACUUCUGCCGCGAGAGCCGCUGUAUGUUCCUCCGUUCGGAGGGAGCGUUCCGUGUUUCCAUUGACCGUGAUGACUCCACGAGGGCCUGGCAUCUUGAGCUUAAGGUAUGCAUAAUGCGGCACCGCGUUGAAUUUUGCGAACGCGGUUCGUCCGAGCAGAGCGUGAUAGCCACUGCGGAAUGGGACUAUGUCGAAGAUUAACUCCUCGCUUCGGAAAUUAUGCGGGGAUCCGAAGACCACUUCCAGUGUAAUUGAGCCUGUACAACUGGCCUCGACACCUGGUAUGACGCCUUUGAAGGUUGUCUUUGUAGGUUUAAUCCUUGAAGGGUCUAUGCCCAUGUUGCGCACUGUAUCCUGAUAAAGCAGGUUCAGGCUACUGCCGCCGUCCAUCAGGACUCUCGUGAGGUGAAAUCCAUCGAUGAUUGGGUCUAAAACCAAUGCGGCGAAUCCGCCAUGGCGGAUACUGGUCGGAUGGUCUCUUCGAUCGAAAGUGAUCGGGCAAGAGGACCAUGGGCUGAAUUUUGGGGCGACUGGCUCCAUCGCGUAUACGUCCCUUAGUGCACGCUUCUGCUCCAUCUUGGGUAUAUGCGUUGCAUAUAUCAUGUUUACCGUCCGAACUUGAGGGGGGAAUCCCUUUUGUCCUCUGUUGUUCGGCGGCCGGGUCUCUUCCUCGUCAUCGCUGUGUAGCCCCUUGUCAUUGUUUUCGGCGAUUAAUUUGCAUGCCUGCUUGAAUACCCAACAAUCUCUGUUGGUGUGGUUAGCUGGCUUUUCGGGGGUUCCAUGUAUUUGACAGGAGCGGUCGAGUAUUCGGUCCAAAUUGGACGGGCCCGGAGUGGUUCUUUUGAAUGGCUUCUUCCAUUGACCGGGCUUGGAGCCUCGGAAUCCGGCAUUGACUGCCGUAUCCUCAUUGUUGUCGCCGUUAAUGCGGCGUUUGUUUUUGUUUCAACGCGACCUGCCAUUGCGGUCCUUGGUAUCCGGACUGCCAGUGUUUUUGCUGAGGUUGUUGUUGCGAGCUAGCCAGCUAUCCUCUCCCGCACAAAAGCGGGUCAUGAGUGAUGUGAGGGCUGCCAUGGAUUUCGGCUUUUCCUGUCCUAGGUGCCGGGCCAGCCACUCGUCGCGGAUGCUAUGUUUGAAGGCAGCGAGGGCCUCUGCAUCCGGACAGUCGACGAUUUGAUUUUUCUUUGUUAAGAACCGUGUCUAGAAUUGCCUGGCCGAUUCGUCUGGCUGCUGGAUUAUGUGGCUUAGGUCAUCUGCAUCCGGUGGUCGCACAUACGUGCCCUGGAAGUUGUCGAGGAAUGCGGCUUCCAGGUCUUCCCAGCAUCCAAUUGACUCUGCGGGCAGGCUGUUAAGCCAAUGCCGAGCUGGUCCUUUAAGCUUGAGUGGAAGAUAUUUGAUGGCGUGAAGAUCGUCGCCGCGGGCCAUAUGUAUAUGGAGGAGAUAAUCCUCAAUCCAAACCGCGGGGUCUGUUGUGCCAUCGUAGGAUUCGAUAUUAACGGGUUUAAACCCUUCAGGGAUUUGAUGAUCCAUUACUUCGUCAGUGAAGCAUAGUGGGUGCGCGACGCCUCUGUAUUGAGCAAUAUCGUGACGUAGCUCGAGAGAGCGUUGUCUGCUGUGUUCGGCCUGGCCGGAGUAGUUGUAUCCGGCGCGACGGUAUUCGUCGUGGGUCUUGGGGCGCCCACGUGAUCCAUAGAUAGAUCUGGAUUGUCUUGCCUUGUCUUCCAAUAUAUCCCGUAAGUCCGGCGCGUUCCCCCGUGGCUUCAUGCUUUUUGAGCGAUGCCGGGGUACGGUUUUGGUGAAGGGCUUGCACGCCUCUCUGUCGCGGCCACGAGGUGGUCGGUCUGCCGUAUUGUGCGCUGGUGAUGCAGGUUGGUACGCUUCCUCCUCUAGUCGGGGGAGCAACUUGCGUUUUGGGUAACUUUUGGAGGGGCGUUCGAGUUCAUACUCUUCGGCCGCGAGGACCUCGGUCCAUCUGUCGGCCAGUAGGUCUUGAUCAGCUUGAAGCUGUUGCUGCUUUUUCUUUAGGCUGUUUGCCGUGGCCAUUAGCCUGCGUCUGAAACGCUCUUGUUCGACGGGAUCCUCAGGCACGACGAAUUCGUCGUCGUCGAGGCUUGCCUCGUCUCCGGUGGGAGGUAAGUAAUUAUCAUCCUCGACCUCUUCGUCUGCCGCCCUCUCGUGAGGGCUUGCUUCUGCCUCCUCCUGCGCUGGAUCGUGCUGGAGGGGGUUGUCUUCGGCACUUUCUGGGGUGUUAUUAUCUCCUGUGCCGGAAUCUCUAUUCUUGCUGUGGCGGGAUUUAGAGCGGCGCCGCUGAUGUCGGCGCUUGGGCUGUUUCUUUAAGGAAUCGGCCUCCGUUGCUUCUUCGCCUUCCCCAUCUUUUGGGGUGUCCACCAUAUAUAUGUCGUAUGACGAGGUGGUCUUCCAGUGUCCUGUAGGCACUGGUUCUUGAUAGUCUCCGGCAUCGUCGUCCAUAUCGUCGAUGUCUUCGGAGUCGUAGUCGAGUACGUCGGUUAGAUCGUCGACGGUGGCUACGAAGUGGGUGGUGGGUGGGCUCUGAACCUCCUCGUCGUCCGCGUCCCAACCAUCCUGGCCGUAGUUCGGCCAGGGCUCUCCGGAUAGCGAGAGAUGCUUCAGCGAAUUUAAGAUAUCACCGAAGAGUGAGUGCUAAAAGAUGUCCGCAGUGGUGAAUUCCAUGAUCGGCGCCCAAUCGGAUUCGACUGGAAGGGGCGCAGGAGGUUCGGAGUCCGGCAAAGAGUCCGGCACCUCAGAGUCAUGAGCUUUAUGCGGGACAAGGUAAGUGUUCGGCUCCAUCGCCGUAGAAGUUGCAGCUCCCGAGGCGGUGUCCAGCCAUCCGUCCUCGAUCUGAGCGAUCGGCUCCGGACUAUGGGUCGGAGCAGAUUCGUGUGCGGCCUCCAAGGUGCUGUCCGGCGGCAGAGUUAGGUCGUGCCCAUCGUGACAGCGCGGCAAGCUCGGCUGUGGCUCAGAUCCAUCGAAGAUCAAGUCCCCGCGGAUAUCGGCCGUGAAGUUUAGGCUUCCAAACCUGACCUGACGGCCAGGGGCGUAGCUUUCGAUCUGCUCCAAAUGGCCAAGUGAGUUGGCCCGCAGUGCGAAGCCGCCGAAUACGAAGAUCUGUCCAGGGAGAAAAGUCUCACCCGGGACUGCGUCGUUGUCGAUUGAAGAGGCCAUCAAGCCUAUCGGUGACGACACAGAGGAACUCUCAAUGAAAGCACCAAUGUCGGUGUCAAAACCGGCGGAUCUCGGGUAGGGGGUCCCGAACUGUGCGUCUAGGCGGAUGGUAACAGGAGACAAGGGACACGAUGUUUUACCCAGGUUCGGGCCCUCUUGAUGGAGGUAAAACUCUACGUCCUGCUUGAUUGAUAUUGAUAUUGUGGAUGUUUACAAGAGUGGAUCUACCACGAGAUCAAGGAGGCUAAACCCUAGAAGCUAGCCUAUGGUAUGAUUGUAAUGGUUGUUGUUGUUCGGUCCUACGGACUAGAGCCAUACGGUUUAUAUAGACACCGGAGAGGGCUAGGGUUACAUAGAGUCAGUUACAAUGGUAGGAGGUCUACGUAUCCGUAUCGUCAAGCUUGCCUUCCACGCCAAGGAAAGUCCCAUCCGGACACGGGACGAAGUCUUCAAUCUUGUAUCUUCAUAGUCUUGGAGUCCGGUCAAUGAUGAUAGUCCGGCCGAUGAUAGUUCGGCUCAUGAUGGUAGUCCGGCUAUCCGGACACCCCCUAAUCCAGGACUCCCUCACCCCCAUUAUAUAAGUUGGAAUGGCUUGGGCAAUAGAUUUAAUCAUGACUUCCUUUCCUGCAAGUGAGAGAGUGUCCUCCCAUGCAAUGAUCCGCUUCAAUAGACGAGACUGCAUAUUCUGAAAUUUCCAUCUUGACAUACGGCCUUCGGGCGUUGGUAGACCCAGGUAUUUUUCCUCAAACGAAGCUGUAUCAAUGUUCAGUACAGCCCGUACCUUUUCCUGCUCAUCCAACGCACAAGCUGGGCCAAAUAGCACACUACACUUUGCUGGGUUGAUACUCUGUCCUGUAGCUCGCUCAUAUGUGUUUAACACAUUAUGUAUUUUAGUAGCUUGCUCGUCAUUCGCCUUAAAAAACAGUAAAGUGUCGUCUGCAAAGAGCAAGUGAGACACUCCAGGGGCUCUGCGACAUAUUUUCAACGGGGAGGUCAUUGAUGUAUUUUGUAUCUCUAUUAUUAUUUUUAGCUUUUUCCACAACUUAGAACUAGGGUUCAUCGGUUGCACCACAAACUAGGGUGCACCGGAUAUGUCCUUGUUCGGAGGGAUAAGAUCGAUGCAUGUAUGUAGUAGUACAUUUCUUGAGCGACAACACUUUUGUACCUAUUAGUACUUACUUAUUUCUCUCUAUAUAUGUACUACUAUGUAUACAUUGUAAAGAUAGGAAACUAUAGAGUGGAAUUUGUCUGUCGAUUCAUGGAACAGGAAGUAAUAUAUGCACCUAGGGAAAGUUAGUUGUAACAGCUAUCCUUGAUACGGCAGAGCAUCUCAGUUUCAAAUUAGAAGAUUCUUCGAGAAUCAAGCUCAUCUCUGGAGAAGAGCUUUGCCGGUCUUACUUAGGAAUGUUGUGCCUCCGAGGGACACCCCUUUAUUUUUGUAGUUCUCCCUACUAUUCUUUGUCAGGGCCUCUGCCUGAUUUGCAUGACUAACAGGAUCCUGAGAGGAUUCCCCCAAAUCACUAUAAUUUUUAGUGUUAGCUAUUUUAUUUCCCUGAGCAUCAAAAUUAUCUCCAGCUUCCUCUAAAUCUUCAGGCAUAUGAACAGUAUGCAGAGACAGUUAAGAACAUCAACACCCAUUUCAAGAACCCUAGUAAUAAUAUCCUCAUCGUCUAAGACAGCAAAAGCAUUAUGAGAGGUAGUAGGUGUUAUACUUCCCAAGUUUUUCUUCAACCUCAGAGAUGGUGAUACAGAUGGGUCUGUUGUUCCCCCUAGUAGCCUGUAUCCUGUUACUAAUCCUAAUCGGAGGAUUAGCACUAGUAGCAGAUACAUUAAACAUAUCCAGCCUCCUGGGAAGGUUGAGUAAGAGGAGCUUCUUCAUCCACAGCUGUUUACACAUCAUCUUAAUUACAUCCACAAUCUGCAUACCAGUAGACUGAAUGUCCAUAGCCACAUCAUUACCUGCAGAUCCACAGUACCAGAACAAACAGAGCCUGAAACCUGGAGAGAACUGUUAUUAGGAGAUUCAACCACAUAUCACACUUAUCACUCCUGUUCUCCAACAGUUGCCUCAUGAAAUCCUCAUAGGAGAGUAGAGUUCAAAGACCAGCUGCUCGUCAGGAUUUUCCCCCACACCAUGGGCCUCCUGGGGAAUUCUAAGUUCCUGGGCUGGAAGUAAGUACCCAGACUUGCUGAUGUUUUUCUCAUAGGAAUCCCACUUCCACUAGAAACGACAGUCUCAGGAACUUUUCUUUUUCCACGCUCUCAGUCUCAGUGUUUCCUGAUCCACAUUAAAUGGACACUUGCUGAUAUAUUGGUCAGUCUUUUACAUGGUUUCACUACUGUAACCAUUGCGAUAUACGGAGUAAAUCUGUGUAUAUUGAUAUACAUUAUAAAGAUAACAAACCAGGGGACGCUACUUACUCAUCUCUGUAUGCAUGUAUACAUUGCAAAGAUAAGAAACUAAGAUUGGAAUUUGUCCACCUAGGGGAAGUUUGUUGUAACAACAUCUCAGUUUUAAAAGAAGAUUCUUCGAGAAUGAAGCUCAUCUAUGGAGAAAGAGGCUUCUUGGAGAAUCAAUCAAUGUCAUGUGGAGAAGCAGAAGCUCCACGACGCAACCCUUCUUCACGGCACCUGCACUGCACUCCUACCCAAGGUUUUGGUUACCGAAUGAGGUAAUUUUACCGAGGGGGACUGAUAAAUGUGGUUACCACGGUUACCGAGAAAUACCGACAAAUACCGAGAAUAUUUCGAGCGAAUUUUAUAGUUGAAUUUUGAAUUCAAAUAAGAAAAUGAACGAAUAUUCAAACCAGAGACCUCUCAAAACAGGAACUAGGUUGCUACCAACAUGCUAUAACCAACUUUCAUUGCAUUAAUUAGACCCUACAUACCUUACUGUAAAUCGAGUGUUUAAAUUCAAAAAUUUCAAAAAAAUGGUAUUUUUUGCUCGGUAUGACGAUUUACCGAGGGGCACGGAAAUACGUGGUAACCAUGGGAAAUCUUGAAAUUUCGACUGGUAACCAAAACCUUGCUCCUACCCUAUAAAGAGGGGCACCGUGCAGCCCAACGAUCCUCACAGGAAGUCCAGAAGCAACGGAGCGGAGGAAGAAUGAGAGAGUGAAGGCCGCCGCCGUCUGCGUGCUCGUCAUCCUGCUGUCGGCCCAGCGGCUGCCGGUCGGGGUUGCCGACCCCACGUCGGCCUUCUGCCAGUGCUACCUGGGCUGCUUUGACCUAGACUGCAGCCGCAAAGGCUGGCAGAGCUGCCAUGAUUACUGCUGCGCCCAAGUGUGUCACUUACCUGGGGACGCCGACUUCGACUUGGAGUGCAGGGGCGGAUAUCACGCCUGCACGGAGUCCACCGGCGACGGUGAGUAAGAUGAACACCCACCGGAUUGGUUUAAUUCAUUGCUCUCCCGUUUCUCUCAGGAUUGAUGGUUUCUCUUGUCUACAUUUUACUAGAUACCACUUCUACUACUACUGGUGAUGCUGCGGCCAGUUACUGGAGCGGCCGCCAUGGCAAGGUCAAGGCCAAGCACGGCUAGACUCCUACCUCUGGGUGCGGCCGCCAUGGAAGCCGUCCUGGGACUGAUGAUGAUCAGAGUAGAUGUCAUGUAAUGUCUGGUUAUGACAGACGGUUGAUGUACGUCUCAUUUACUAGUAUAGUACUAUAAUAUAAUAAAAUCUCAGUGCGAUUUGGAAGAAAGAGCACACAAUGAGAUGUUGCAGGCAAUGUUAUAAUCUGAAAUGACUUAAGCUGGUUUCACUCGAUUCGGUGAAAUUAAUUUACUCCUGUUGCUUUGUGGAAUGAAUCUGCCAAUUAUUCAUCUCAUAUAAACCACUGCAGUUUCGUAUAGUUAUGAUGCCUCUCAUAAGUUUGGUUUGUUAAACAUCAUUAUAUGUUAUGUUAUAUGCGGCAGGAGGUAUAUGGUUCGGUGAAUAUCAGAGAUAAGUCCAGGAGGUAGUUUGCAUAGAGAUCUUCUUGUAACCAUCUUCCUUUCUUGUUUCUCAAGAUGUAUCUUAGAUCUCUCUUAUCUCUUCUUUCUUUCUUGACCGCAUGUACAAGCCAAUUGGCUCCCCUGCUAUAUAAACAACACGUCGCCCUCGACUACGGUAAGACGUUUUCCGCUCGCACACGGUAAUCAGAGCCCCUCUUCUUCAACUCAUCUAGCUACCAGAACCACCUGUGUCGAAGCCGCACCAUGUCUUCCUCCUCCGGCGCUUCCUUCCAGCCUAGUCUCAACGGCCAGGUCACCGAGAAGCUAUCCCGCACGAACUAUGUGCUAUGACGCACGCAGAUCAUACCGCAGCUGCGUGGCGCCGGGGUCUUCGACUACGUCGACGGCACCCAUCCGGAGUCGGCGCAGCUCCUCGUCACCACCAAGGAAGGCAAGGAGACUUCAACGCCCAACCCUCUCCACCCCAUCUGGGUCCGAGAGGACCAGCAGGUCCUCGGCUACCUGCUGAGCAACCUCACCAAGGAGGUGCUCCUUACGGUGACCACGGUCACCACCGCGGACGCGCUCUGGACGACGCUCGCUGGCAUGUACUCGUUGCAAUCGGUGAGUCGAAUCAACAACAUCCGUACUUCUCUCAUCAAUGCGCAGAAGGGCAACCUCUCCGUCGCCUCCUACUUCGCUACCAUGCGCGGCUAUGCCGAUGAGCUGGCUGCGGCGGGCAAGGCCAUCCUUGACGACGAGCUCAUCUCCUACAUCAUCCACGGGCUCGACGCCGACUACCAGCCCCUGAUCUCUGCACUGGAUGCUCGCGUCACGCCCGUCACCAUCGACGAGCUCUUCGCUAUGCUGUCAAACUUUGACCAGCGGAUGGCACUUUCCAUGGCAACGGCGGCGGCGGCUUCAAGUCCUCCGCGAACUCGGCGUCUCGUGGUCGUGGUGGCUCCUCUCGGCACGGCGGCGACUUCUCCCAUGGCAGGGGGAGGUCUAGUGGAGGAGGCAACGGUGGCGGCUCCAACUCCCGCAACGGCGGGCGCGCUCCCGCCAACAAAACUCGUCGCGGCAGUGGCAAUCCUCGUGCACGCCCUGAUGCUCCGCGGUGCCAGAUAUGUGGCAAGUUGGGGCACACAGCAAAAGAUUGCUGGUACCGCUACGAAGAGGAUGAUGACUCCUCUCAAGAUGAUGACAAGGUGGCGGCGGCCGCAGAUGGCUCCUACGGAAUCGACACCAACUUGUACAUGGACAGUGGCGCCACCAACCACAUCACCAACGAGCUCGAGAAGGUGACCAUGAAGGAGAAAUACCGUGGCAAGGACCAAAUCCACACAGGUAGUGGUGAAGGUAUGGAGAUCCGUCACAUUGGUCAUUCAAGUUUUAGUACCCCUUCUCGUAGAAUCCAUCUUAGGAAAAUUUUGCAUGUUCCUAAUGCCGACAAAAGUCUUCUUUCUGUCCAUAGAAUUGCUCUUGACAAUCAUGUCUUCCUUGAAUUUCACCCCUAUUUCUUUUUGAUCAAGGAUCAGGCGACGAAGAACAUUCUCUAUCGAGGUAGAUGCGUUUGUGGGCUCUACCCGUUGAUUCCGGAGCUUAGGAGACUAAAUAAACAAGCUUGUGGUGCUAUCAAGAUUUCAUCCACACGAUGGCAUGAUCGUUUAGGACAUGCUGAUUUUUCCUUAGUUGAAAAAUUACUUAGAAAGAAUAAGCUCCCGUUUGUUGGUGAGCGCAAUAUUGAAACUAUUUGUGAUUCCUGUCAACGAGCUAAGAGUCAUCAGCUACCCUAUCCUAUAUCCACUAGUGUGUCUAUCAAACCACUGCAAUUAAUUUUUUCAGAUGUUUGGGAUCCUGCCCCCAACUUAGUUGGUAGACAUACGUACUAUGUGAGUUUCAUUGAUGACUAUAGUAAAUUUUCUUGGAUUUAUCUACUUAAGAAAAGAUUCUGUCUUUCAAGUCUUUAAAAAUUUCCAAGCACUCGUUGAACGCAAGUUUGACAGCAAGAUACUUGUUGUCCAAUCAGACUGGGGCGGAGAAUAUGAGAAAUUAAACUCUUUCUUUCAAACUCUCGGCAUCUCUCAUCAUGUGUCGUGCCCCCACGCUCACCAACAAAACGGCUCAACUGAACGCAAACACAGGCACAUCGUUGAGGUUGGCUUAGCUCUCUUAGCUGGCGCCUCCAUGCCUCUCAAAUUCUGGGAUGAAGCUUUUCUCACUGCCGUUCACAUGAUCAACAUGCUUCCCAGUCAUGUUAUUAAUAACGAAACUCCAGUAGUACGACUCCUCCAUACCAAAACUGAUUACACAUCUCUUCGCGUUUUUGGGUGUGAAUGUUGGCCCAAUCUUCGUCCAUAUAAUCAACGCAAACUCAUGUUUCGGUCAAAACAGUGUGUGUUUCUUGGAUAUAGUGUUCAACACAAAGGUGUAAAAUGCCUUGAUGUGUCUACGGGACGAGUCUAUAUCUCCCGUGACGUUGUUUUUGACGAAACAAAAUUCCCGUUUGCUGAUCUUCAUCCCAACGCAGGUGCCUUGCUUCGCAAAGAAAUCCUCCUCUUGCCAUCUCAUCUCACCGGCCUUGAUCAUGGGGGAAACACUUGUGAUGAUUCAAUGCUGACUAACCCUCCUAAUGGUACAGACAAGCUUUCUGGUGAUGUUGCAGGAACAAUCAGCGACAAAAAUGAAAAAGAACUUGGUCUUCAGGCACCAUAUUUGCUGCGUCAGGAAUCGGGGAGCAAAUCCUCCUUGGGAUCGGCGCCAGAUCAGGUGGAGCCCAGGAAAUCCACGCCGGGAUCAGCGCCAGCAGACGCGCCAGAUCUGCUCGCAGCGGAAUCUGCCGCGCGUGCGGGUUCCCGUGGCCCCACGCCUACCACGCGCUAGCCUGCGGGUGGUGGCAGCCCCGCGCCAACUCUGCGCCAAUCACCAGACGCCAUGUGGCGGCGCCCUGAUGGCCCAGGCGGUGUGCGGUUUCCCGACCAACCGCAGUGCUACAAGAGGCGGCCCCAGGUGCAGCCGACCGGCGCGAACUCCAGCGCUGACCCACCCAGCCAGGAGGGCGCGGGAUCCGGUGCAGAUCCGCGUGGCCCCGCGCAAUCACGGGCUCAUGACGAGCCGACCGGUGCGCCUGGAUCUUCUACGGCUGUUGCAACCUCUCCAUCAACUACUGAAGCCAUAGAGGAUCCAGUGCGGCUGGCGGGUGAAUCUUUCUCGGGAUCGCCUACGUUAGGAACUCCUGUGCGCGACUCCGGAUCUUCUGCGCCGGCUAACUCUGCAGCACAGUCUCGGCGGCUCACACGGUUGCAAAAAGGUGUAACUCAACCUCUCAAUUAUAAACAUAUGAGCAAAUAUGGUCUCGUUUGUUCUAUAGAUGCACAAGCUGAACCAAGAACUUUGGAUGAGGCAUUUGGAGAUGAAAAGUGGAGAAAAGCAAUGAUGGAAGAAUAUGUGGCACUGAGGAAAAAUAAAACAUGGCAUCUAGUUUCCCCACGGCAAGGUAAAAAUCUCAUAGACUGCAAGUGGGUGUUCAGAGUUAAGAGAAAAUCUGAUGGAACUGUUGACAGAUACAAGGCAAGGCUUGUUGCCAAAGGUUUUAAACAGAGAUAUGGGAUUGAUUAUGAGGAUACAUUCAGUCCAGUUGUAAAAGUUGCUACUAUUCGUCUUGUUCUGUCUAUUGUUGUCUCUAGGGGAUGGAGUCUCAGGCAGCUAGAUGUACAGAAUGCGUUCCUUUAUGGUGUUCUGGAAGAAGAGGUGUACAUGAAACAGCCUCCUGGGUUUGAGAGUAAGUCUAAUCCCUCAUUUGUGUGCAAACUUGAUAAAGCACUCUAUGGCUUGAAGCAAGCACCAAGAGCGUGGUACUCACGUCUUAGUCACAAGAUGCAAUCACUUGGUUUUGUUCCUUCCAAGUCAGACACCUCACUGUUUAUUUACAAUAAGCUCAACACAUGCAUAUUUGUUCUCAUCUAUGUUGAUGAUAUUAUUGUUACAAGUUCAUCUAGUGAGGCCAUUGCAUCAUUGUUGAAGGAUUUAAGUGCAGAAUUUGCUCUCAAGGAUCUUGGAGAUUUGCAUUUUUUCCUUGGGAUUGAAGUGAAGAAACACAAGGAUGGACUUCAUCUCUCUCAAGAGAAAUAUGCAACUGAUGUGGUAAGAAAGGCAGGUCUGCAGGGUUGUAAACCAUCCUUCACUCCAUUGUCCAGCUCAGAAAAAUUAUCCCUCACGGAAGGGCAACUCUUGAAUCAAGAGGACAGUACAAAGUACAGGAGUUUAGUAGGUGCACUUCAGUACUUGACUUUAACAAGGCCUGAUAUCUCUUUUGCUGUUAACAAGGUAUGUCAGUUUUUGCAUGCUCCUACUACUGUGCAUUGGACUGCUGCAAAACGCAUUGUCAGAUAUGUCAAACAUACCUUGAGCAUUGGUCUUAGUUUCAGCAAGUCAUCCUCAACUCUUGUUAGUGCCUUCUCUGACUCUGAUUGGGCAGGCUGUCUGGAUGACAGACGCUCUACUGGUGGAUUUGCAAUAUUUUUUGGACCAAACUUGAUUUCAUGGUGUGCAAGGAAGCAGGCCACAGUGUCUCGGUCUAGCACAGAGGCAGAGUACAAGGCAUUAGCGAAUGCCACUGCUGAAAUCAUAUGGGUUCAAUCAAUGUUAAAGGAACUUGGUAUACGAAGUUCUCAAGCUCCAUGUAUGUGGUGUGAUAAUCUUGGUGCCACCUACUUGUCUGCAAAUCCAGUCUUUCAUGCCAGAACAAAGCACAUAGAGAUAGACUUUCACUUUGUCAGAGAAAGAGUUGCACGGAAACAGCUUGAUAUUCGGUUCAUUCAUUCCAGAGAUCAAGUUGCGGAUGGGUUUACUAAGGCCCUGCCUAUGCGAAGCUUUGAAGAAUUUAAGCAUAAUCUCAACCUGAUGAAGUUGUGAUUAAGGGGGAGUGUUAAACAUCAUUAUAUGUUAUGUUAUAUGCGGCAGGAAGUAUAUGGUUCGGUGCAUACUAGAGAUAAGUCCAGGAGGUAGUUUGCAUAGAGUUCUUGUAACCAUCUUCCUUUCUUGUUUCUCAAGAUGUAUCUUAGAUCUCUCUUAUCUCUUCUUUCUUUCUUGACCGCAUGUACAAGCCAAUUGGCUCUCCUGCUAUAUAUAAACAACACGUCGCCCUUGACUAGGGUAAGACGUUUUCCGCUCGCACAUGGUUCUGUAAAUUGGUUUGCCAAAGCACUGUCUACAGUGAUUUUUGAUCCGCAUUAGUAACUUCCCAAACUAAACGUCUUUCCUAAUCCAACAGACCAGCCUUCUACUUCCGCACCGAUCCUGUAUUGGAAGUAUAGUUUAUAUACAAAAACAAGGUGAUAUAACAACAACAACCGUGUAAUGGCAUGUAAAUCAAGUUGAGUUCUUUGCAAGAAAUCUCAACUCUAACGCAGGCGAAUGUAUCUCCAAAAAGAAAGAGAAAAAUUCUUUACCACCAGUAUAUAUAGUUUCAUGUAAAUCAGAUCAGCUUCCCUGACAAGGUUCAGGCAUGGAAAGCUGCAGGCAUAAGCUGGCCUAAACCACUGAACACACUAUAACNNNNNNNNNNNNNNNNNNNNNNNNNNNNNNNNNNNNNNNNNNNNNNNNNNNNNNNNNNNNNNNNNNNNNNNNNNNNNNNNNNNNNNNNNNNNNNNNNNNNNNNNNNNNNNNNNNNNNNNNNNNNNNNNNNNNNNNNNNNNNNNNNNNNNNNNNNNNNNNNNNNNNNNNNNNNNNNNNNNNNNNNNNNNNNNNNNNNNNNNNNNNNNNUCAAUUGUACUAUAUCAAUGUAGAGCCGAUGUGUUCGUUCCUAAAAGAAAAAUCAGAUAGGCCAGUUGAUAUAAAGAAAUAAAAAUCGGUUAAAGAGACUGUGUGUACAAUAUGCAUACAUCUUGAUCUGUUGACUGGUGAAAUUGAUAUCGAUAUCAGUUACUACUCCCUCCGUCCCAUAAUAUAAGAACGUUUUUUACACUAGUAUAGUGUUAAAAACGUUCUUAUAUUUUGGGACAGAGGGAGUACUAGUUAAUUAGAUUAAGUUGUUUUCUAGAUCAGCUAAUUAUAUACUGGUUGUUAUUUCACAUGGUGUCACUAGUGUAACUGUUGCAGAAUUGUACUAGUAUGCCUAAUAUAGAGGUUUAUGGAUCAGAUAUGGGACCCUGAAAACGUGGACAGAUCCUCUCUAUACACAUGUCCAUUGCUUGAGCAAUACUCCUCUUUAUAUGUUUAUAUACAUUGCAAAGAGAAACAGAGAAUAUAAUUUUUCAGUUGAUUCAUGGAACAAGGAGGGGUAGUUAGUUGUAACAGCAAAGGGUUUUAGUUCACUCAAUGCUUGAUACGGAAGCAGCGCAGAGCAUCUGAGUUUCCUUAUGUAUGCUCAUCUCUGCGAAAAGAAAAGCUUCUUCGAGAAUCAAGCUCAUGUCUGUGGUGAAAUUAGAACUUCUUCGAGAAUCAAUGGUGUAUGCAUCAGAAUAAACUUCUUCGAGAAUCAAUGGCGUAUGCAUCAGAAUAUAAUCAAUGGCGCGUGCAGCAACAGAAGCUUGGUUCAGUGUUGGAAGUAAAGAGCAAUGUAAAUCAGAUCAGCUUCCCUGACAAUGUAGAUGGCAAGUUAUAUCUGGAAGAAUUUGGUUGAUUCUCACUCUGUUCAGUGAAACGUACUCUGUUCUCUUGUACGUAGUGGCUGGUGAAACAGCUUCGAGCGGCAGUAAAAAAUAAAAUAAGAGGGAUGUAGAUGGCAAGUUAUAUCAGGUGGAAUUUGGUUGAUUCUCACUCUGUUCAGUGAAACGUACUCUGUUCUCUUGUACGUAGUGGCUGGUGAAACAGCUUCGAGCGGCAGUAAAAAAUAAAAUAAGAGGGACGUAGUUCAGAGUUGCUCGAUCUCACCUGAUUAUUCAGGUGGAAUGUGACGACCCAAGUUGUGAGAGAGGGUCGAACUCUCGACCUCAGGAUCACUCACGUCUUAGCUAUGAGACCUACGCGCUAGCCAACUGCGCCACCACCCCUUUGUUGUAUUAGCAGCGAAACAACAUCUAUUUUUACAUAAGCGUUGCCAUCUUUAAAAGCUUUCAAACAAUCUGGUUGGAAGUCAGGAGAGAUUAUGUUUGCUUGUGUAAAAAUAGCACAGGAUGAGCACACGGAUCAGUUGAAAAUUCAACCAAGAUGGGGAAAACUCAACACUAGACAUCAAAUGAGCUCCAAAAAGAGCAGCGUUUUAGUGGUUUAGUUUAUACUGGUGAGCAACUUUGCGUCAACCUUCUGUUCCUCUUUGCGCAACUCGUACAAAAUGCUAACUGAAGAUCAACUGAGCAUUGAGUCAUUCAUUCUAAAACUAAAUGCGUUGAGUGACUGCGGUUCCUCUUUGCGCUGGUAUCCUCUAUUCUUAAAUAGUUACAACCCACCACUUAUUUUUCCUAGUUAUGCAAACAUGUCACAUAAGCAAACCAUGCAUUAUGUCAGAAGUUAUAUUUUCCUGCAUUAGCCUAUGCAUGCAGCGCCACAUCAUCAAUUCAUGUAUGUUAGUCAUAAGUUACCUUUUUAUUAGUUUGCGUUUUUAUGGACAUUAUAUGUGUUGGGCGAUUGCAACAUACCCAUGUAGCUCAUCCUUGUCAUUGUUGUUACAAACUACAUUCUUUUAACUAUAAUUCAAAAGUUUUUCCUUCUUUUUAGAUAUUUCAUAUGUUUUUAUUGGUUUUUAAGCUUACAUUUGCUUUCCUGGCUUUAAUUGUUUCUGGAAAAUAUUUAUGCACUUCUUUUUAACAAAGGCCCCGCAGCAACGCGCGGGGCAUCAUCUAGUAGAACUAAUUGUGCGCUUACUUACGCACCUGUUAUAUACGGCCAAAUCCUCUGCAAAGAAGUGCCACUUGCACCGCCAAAUCUUUCGUAAAGAAUAAAUUGGCACUUACAGUGUAAACUAGUAGGUAGACCAGGCGGGCACUAUUUUUUGGAUAAAAGAUUGAUUUUAUCAACUCAAAAUAAAGAAUUAACGGGAUACAAACAUAAUGAGCACAUACCCAAUUAUGUCGGCAAAGAGCAAAGUUAUAUUUAGACCAAAACUCUUCUUAGGUGGACGAAAAAGGAAAAAGCUCCGAAGCGAUCAAAACUGCGAUCGACAAACUACGCGACCAUAUGCACCAAAAAAAUUGACAUCACAAAGGCAAUGAGAAAGGUUAGCAACGCCUCUAGGCGAGGGGAAUGUCGAUCAAGCCGCCGCCACUGCUGGAUCCAACCACCAAAGGUCAAAUCAUGGGGUUUCACUCUCAAGAUAAGACGCAAGCAGAUCCUAGCUAGCAAUGCCAAAUACAAGGUAACGACGCAAAAACACUGUCAUUGCCAAUUAUUACCAAUUAGGGUCAGACUUUGGGUUUUCACCCUAGGGCUCAAGACCGGGUACUCAAAAAGCACCACCUAAAUCAAAGUCACCAUGUGUUACCGCCACCAUUUUCUGUGAUCCCAGUAGCUACAUGUGUAGCACGAUCUUGACAUGAGAUUCCAUGAAAGUGAAGACCAUGACCUCAUAGGCGAGCAGUCAAUCCACAAAAAGUGCUAGUUGCCACCAAAGGCUCAAAACAAAAAAGGUCACCGUCACACAUGCGAUGAAAAUUGGCGAGGCUGGAAGGUCAGCGGCACCGCCAAAAAUCCAUUGGGGACACUCUGGCAGUCCCGCCCCGUCCUCAUGCUCUGUGUUCUCGUAUGUUAUAGUCUAAAGAGGCAAGAUGAUGAUGGUGAUGAAGGCGGCGAUGGAGGUGAAAGAGGCAAGAUAGCACCGGCCCUCCAAGCAAUGUGGGGCGUUGGUGGAGACUCCUGCUUUUUUCUUCCAUGUCUUAACCCUUCCUCUUUGGGGAAGACAUAUCUUGAUGCUGCAGUGGAAUUGUGUCGGACUGAGAUGGAUUCGNNNNNNNNNNNNNNNNNNNNNNNNNNNNNNNNNNNNNNNNNNNNNNNNNNNNNNNNNNNNNNNNNNNNNNNNNNNNNNNNNNNNNNNNNNNNNNNNNNNNNNNNNNNNNNNNNNNNNNNNNNNNNNNNNNNNNNNNNNNNNNNNNNNNNNNNNNNNNNNNNNNNNNNNNNNNNNNNNNNNNNNNNNNNNNNNNNNNNNNNNNNNNNNNNNNNNNNNNNNNNNNNNNNNNNNNNNNNNNNNNNNNNNNNNNNNNNNNNNNNNNNNNNNNNNNNNNNNNNNNNNNNNNNNNNNNNNNNNNNNNNNNNNNNNNNNNNNNNNNNNNNNNNNNNNNNNNNNNNNNNNNNNNNNNNNNNNNNNNNNNNNNNNNNNNNNNNNNNNNNNNNNNNNNNNNNNNNNNNNNNNNNNNNNNNNNNGAGAGGGAGAGAGAGAUGCUAGGGUUGGUGUCAUAAAUUGCCAGUCUUCACGUGUCUCCUCCGCAGAUCCACCUCCACUCAUUUGAUGCAUGGGGUCUAGAGGAGCCCCAACCUCUCCCAGCACCUUCGUUGUCUUUCGAGGAUCUUGUAAUAACAAAGGGGACAUAAUCGGUUAAGAUUGUUGAAGUUAUUUGAAUCCCAUCGCCCAAAUCAUAUGGUAUGACCGUCGGUACGAUCGUGUGCAGUUAUACCAUGCCUCGUCUUCUCUAUUGUCACCUCGUAUGGACAAGCCUGACUUCCUGGUACUGGUACUGGAUAUUCAAUUUGGGCUCACUUGAAAACCUUAUUUUAUCGAUCUCACCAUAGGCCUUGUAUUUGGGCCCCGUAACUUCGUCAUAUUGAUUUUAACUUUGUUCCUUCCAUCGUGCUACAUUCAGUGGCAGAGGCAGGAAUAAUUUUCAGGUUUGACAAAGUUUAUGGAGAUAAAAGUGUAUAAUGCAACUAUCUAAGAACUCGGUCGAAUACAAAAUAUAUAUAUUACAUUGUGUUUCUUUUGAAACAAAGGCGAUCUUGCUUCCAGCCGCCAGGGCGCUGCCUUCCGCCACCGUCCUCCAUGAGAGAGCACUCGAAUAAUGGACCUUAUUUUUGGUCGCCGUAACAAAAUUUGUUUUAAAAUUUAAACUCCAAUUCUAAUUAUGAACUAGUACCUUUCUUUCAUUAUGUAUUUGCUUUUAUUCAAUGCCAUUUACCUACUCGUCCUCGCAAGGACGUCACUGCCUACAGAUCGCCGGCCACGACUUACUCUUGCCGGCCGACAAGCCGCUCUCCGUGUGAUGGUUAUUUUUUGCAUCAUCCCUUUCCUUGCGGGCACACAUGAUCAAGAUUGAAGACGCGUGGUUUAGGGGGGUUCCAGAACUGGGAAGAUGUUGUCACUCACGGUUGUGAGUUGACCGGCAAGAUCGUUCUGCCUGCACGUGUUUUAGUUCUACUAGCAAAAAUGCCCGUGCGUUGCAACGGAAGAAAAAACACACACGUCCUAACCCAAUAAAUUAAAUAUGUGAUGUUGUAAUAAUUUAUAUACCACAAAAGGUGUAAUCAAAAGGAUAAUUCAUAAGUCGGACAUGAAACACAUUUUUUGAGUUUCCCGUGUGUGCCCUAAUCUGUGUGUAUAUAUAUUAGUACAACAUCGCCUAACCCUUAUCCAGCUAUGGACGGUGUUCGUGUCCUUUUCAGUUUUCACGUCCUAAAGGCAAGAGCUCCUCCCUCCCAAUUGGCGUGUGGGGCGAAAUAGUACGUGAGCAAGCUGCACCAUUGUCACGGUCUCUCUACUAUUCAUCCCUCCUCUCUCUUGCCUAUCUCACCAACGACAUCGAUGACAUUCAGACUUAAGGAAUAUCUUGAUGAUCAACAAGUAACAGUGAGCCCCUAAUAUCUUCUACCUUAAGAAUGAUUUCUUUCCAAUAAUCACUCACUUUUAGUUAGCCUAUCUGAUAAUGUAUUCCUAAGAUCUGACAAGCAUGAAUAUUAAAUUAUAACAAUAACAACAAACAACAGCAAGUAAUUAUAAUUUGUGCUCAUCAGGAAAAAAGAAUUGUAAUCGGUGCUAGCACGCAUAGCAUGCAGCCAAGAUUUUAUGUUUCGUUUUGUAAAUUUUACUGCCCUUGAACGAAAUGGGCGAAUUUUGAACUUUUUUCGGAAAAUCUCGGAUGAAAAGGACAAUUCAAAAUUAAAAUUUGUGGAUGAAAAUAGCGAAAGUAUAAACGAAAAACGACCAAAAUUGUACAAUUUUUUUGAAUCCUACAACAAGACUAAAGCACAAUCAAACAUAACAACACGGGUCCCUUGAUUGAUAUACACCGACGAAUAGCUCUGAACAAUUCGAGUCAGCAGACUACCUCAAACUUGAAUCAACAUAAAUACCACAGUACUUACUACUCAUCUUGGUCUGGUUAGUAGUAGUACAUCAAUCCCAGUAUGAAGGCACGUGCAUGCACACCACAUUCUGGUCCCGUUCCAGCCGCCUGGAUGCCGCAUCCAGCAGCUUCCAGAGUUCCUGUUCAUACAGUUUUGAUUAAAAAAAAGCAACAUGCACACCCAGAAAUAUCCCCACCGACGGCCCACUGCGUGCCCCCUUCCUAUCCACACAGCGCCGCUCCUCUAUUUUAACAUGAUGGCUCACCAUGUUGCCAAUUAUCUUUCUUCUCACUCUCAUUGAUGAUGGAUGCAAUAUCCACGUGAUCGCAAUGCAUUCAACGUGGUAAAAAAUGGGCUUGUCACUGUACGACACACUUGUCAUUGUCUCGCGCAAGGGAAUGUUUUGAACUUUGAAAACAAAUCUCAUCGACCAUGGACUACUCGCCAACCCCAAGACAUAUAAAGAAUUUCCAAAAUUAAUCAAAUCCUAGAUAUAAAAUACAUCUGAAUAGGAAGAGUUUUUUGAAUCGACAAACAUUCUUUUUAAAUUUAGACAUUUUUUUAAAUUCACAAACAUUUGUUUUUUAGACGAACAUUUAUUGAAAUGCAUGAAUAGUUUUUGAUUUCAUGAUGACUCAGAUUCACAAAUAUGUUUUGAAUACACGAUCAUUUUAUCAAGAUCAUGAACUUGAUUUUAUUUAACGACAUUUCUUUCCAAAUUAUUUUUAUAAUUUGCAAAUAUUUUUGUAAAAUCAGUAACAUUUUUUCAAACCACGAAAAUUUUAUGAUUUCCUGAACUUUUUUGAAUUCACACACAUUUUAUAAUUUCUCAAACAGCUUUUUCAAACUCGCAACUUUUUAAUACUUGAAAAUCUCAAAUUGAUUUAAAGAAGGAGAAAACAAAAACAGAAGUGAGAAAAGAGAAGACCAGAAAAAAGAAAAAAAACAGGGCAUUAAGUCCGCUGGCUGGCCCAUGUAGGCCUAAAGUAAGUGGGAAUAAGUCAUGAGAAAAAGGUGGAGGAAAAUAUUGGUAGAAGCUGGGGUUCGAACCCUGGUCUACAGGGCAGAAGACAAUGCAUUGAGCCACCGCGCUGCUACUGCGUCACUGCUAGUUGUUGGAUAUUAACUGUAUACAAACUCUGGAAACGACAGCGACUUUGAAAAGAAAAACCGAAUCGUUUUCUUCACUUACGGAUGGCAUAGCGGGUAAUUUCUAGCAACUUCGGGGGGCGAUUUUUGUGACGUACGGGCAGAAGCAAUAUCUGCUUUAUUAGUAUAUAUAUAUAUAUAUAUAUAUAUAUAUAUAGGUAUAGAUAUAGAUAUAGAGGUAUAGAUAUGGAGUCAAGUUAUAGGCCCGUUACAUCAGCCCCACGACCUAUGUACCUGUAUCAGGCCCAUGGCUAACACGUAGUGUACUUGUAUAUUCCCCCUCUCCCGGUGGAUCCUAAUUGACGCCCGUGUGCGCGUCCAGAAAACGUGGCUUCGCUGAAGCGCGGGAUGAGCUGCGCGCGACGGGCCGGCCCACCUCGCGAAUUCAAGCGUUGCGAGGCAAACCGGUUUUGGGAACCCUUCUAGAAGGUUCCCAGAACCGCUUUCUUUCUUUUUUUAUACUUUUUGCCGGUUUUCCGAUUUUCCCUGUUUCUUUAUUCUUUUUUUUGUUUCUGUUUUUUAAAUCCCGUUUCUGUUUCUUGUUCCUUUUUCUUUUUCUUUAUUUUUUCGUAUUUAUUUUCAUCCUUUGUUUUCAAAAAAAAAUUAAAUUUCCUUAUUUUCUUCAUGAUUUAAUAAAGACACACAGUUUUUAAAUUUUGUUCACAAUUCAAAAUUUGUUCAGCGUACAUUACAGAAAUGUUCAAUGUAUAUUUUAAAUUUGUUCGGGAUAUAUCACAAAAUUGUUCAGUGUGUUUUUUAAAAUUGUUCAGCGUACAUUACAAAAAUGUUCAAUGUAUAAUUUAAAUUUGUUCGGGAUAUAUCAGAAAAAUGUUCAGUAUGUAUUUAAAAAUUCUUCAGCACAUGUUACAAAAAUGUUCAAUGUGUAUUAAAAAAAUCUUCUUUUUGGAAUUUCGAAAUUUGUGUUCAACUUUCCAGUAAUUGUUCACGUUUGGAAAGUUUUGUCGAAUUUUAAAAACUGUUCAUGGUUUUAAAAAGGGUUUCGCGUUUGUCAAAAUUUGUUCAGAAUUUUUUUUUUGUUCUUGAUUUUCUUGAAUUGUUCGAAAAUUGUGAAAAGUUGUUUGGUACUUUAAAAUCGCGCGCUGCCUCCGAACCAGAAGAAGCUAUCAGCUCAACUGGUUAGGUUUUAGAGUUCCGGAGCGAGACGUCAUGGGUUCGAUCUCCUGCUGGCGCGGGAAAUCCUAUUCGGCGCUUAUGCGCCGGUUCCCCAACUGGCGCCUGCAGGCGCAUCUAAUUGGGCUAGGCCCAUCUUGCCAUCUCUUCUUCUUUCUGUACAAAGGAAAGAAAAGGCAACGCGUCGGGCAGAAUUCGAACGUGGGAUCUCCUCGCCGUUUGCAACCUGCGCUAGCCACCCCACCUGCCUCACAACUACGCUCUUUUACACUUUUUUCCUUCUUAUGUCUUUUUUUCGGUUCAGAAUGCUUUCGCUCGCUUUUUAUUUCUUUUUCUUUUUUUGUUUUGCUCAUUUGAAUGAACUUUUUUUGAAUCAACGAACGUUUUUCAAUACCGACGAACUUUUUUUGAGUUCGAUGAACUUUCUUCGAAUUGGGUGAACUUUUUUUGAAUUUGAAGAACCUUUUUAAAAUCGGAUGAACUUUUUUCGAAUUCGAUGAACUUUUUUCAAAUAUGAUGAACUUUUUCCAAAUUGGAUGAACUUUUUCCCAAAAUCAAUUAAAUUUUUUCGAAUUGGAUGGACUAUGAUUCAAAUUUGAUGAACUUUUUUCGAAUUCGAUGAACUUUUUUCGAAUUUGAUGAACUUUUUCCAAUAUCGAUGAACUUUUUUCAAAUUGGAUGAACUAUUUUUCAAAAUUGAUGAACUUUUUGUUUAAAUUCAUGAACUUUUUUGUGAACACGUGAACUCUUUUUUUGCAUGUUCGUGAACCUCAUUUGAAAUAUGUGAACAUGUUUUUAAAAUAUUUUAACAAUCUCAACGGUAUUGUUAAUGCACAAUAAAUAGCGCGUCUUCUAUUUUCGUUCUUAAGACGUAUUGCGCUGUACAGAGAUAUGAACUGUUAGUUGGUCUGGUGGUAGGACAACCUAUACGUAAGCACGACGGCGCGUGUUUGACUCCAGACGACAGCUAAUUUUCGCACGUAUUUUCUCGCGCUGCUCUUAUUUUUGGGCCGGCCCAGCUAGACGCCGCUGUGAGCGCCGGUUGCGUUCCCCGGCGCCUACAGCGCCGAAUAGGACCUCCCUGCUGGCGCGGGAUAUUUUUGGCGUUUUUUCCCACGCGCUCGAGCUCCAGACCUUCAAAUGGGCCGGCCCAUCAGCGUAUACCUUCAGCGAACGCUCCUCUACUUGACGCUAACGAGCGUGAAGCGUCCGACAGGAGCUCCCCCUCUCCCCUAGCCUAAAAAAGGGUAUCUGACGCAAAAUUUAGGUGUGGGCAUGUAUGCCUUGCCAACUAGCUAGUUUUGCCACUGGGUACUUUCAUGGUAGUUCGAAAUCACCUACAAACACCAAAACAUCAAGUAGUUCCUAGGUGAGCUUUUCAUGUCAUUUUGUUAGCCCAUCCUUAAGAGUCAAUCGACCUCAACUCCUCAAGUCAAUCCAAUCUCAACAGCUCCUGUGCCGCCACCAUGAAUCGAAUGAAGUCGACAAUAGCACUUUACGGACAUUCCAACCUUUUCAUCAGGCCGUUUCCACAACUAUUUCAUCAAACAACUCACUUUUAUCAUAGACGUUGUCAACAGAACACCUCUUUUAGGGCGAACCAACCUAUAAUUGGAUGGUUUGAAGGACAGUAGUAGUUCCAGCCCACCAUGGUUCAAGUCAUGGUGCUCGCAUUUAUUCUUGAAUUAUUUCAGUAUUUCCAGCGAUACGCUUUCGAUGGGUGGAGACAUUCCUGUCGACUAUGACGCGCCUUUGGUGACUUCGUCAAUCUCAAGAUGAUAUGUUAGCUCAUUUUCUCAGAGAUGCUCAUAUGGAUAGGAUGUGCGUGUGCGUAUUCAUAGGGAUGAAUGUAUGCGCGUAUACAUAAGUGCAUGCGUCUAUACUUUGUUUAAAAAAAACACCUUUGUUUAGGUCUUUAGGGUGGAGGGGUGUCAACACAGUACCUUUGCCAUGAACCGGUUUUUUUUAGACACGCCAUGAACCGAAUGAUGCCGACGCCACAGUCCAAACAAAAAGGCCCAAGGCCGAGAAGAUUGCCAUGAUUUGUAUGGCCCGGUCUGUCUGGCCUGCGGGCCCAAGGUCUCACCCAUUGCCUCCAGCUCGAAGCCCUAGCGUCUUCCUCUCCCUUCUCCCGCAGCACCUCCUCUCCAUAGUCCCAGUAGGCCACAGCUUGGAGGUCCCAGCGGACCGCAAAUUGGCUGGGUCUUAGCGGCAAUGGAGGAUGGCGGCCAUGGGAAACUUCAAAUCCAAUUGGCUACCCUACGUAUUGGUACCACAGUGCAGUCAAAUAGGAAAUCAGUGAAAGAUGGAAUCUGAGCUGCGGCAAGAUUACCCUGACACGAUUUGGUCGGCAUGCAGGGACACCCUAUUUGCAGGUCACUUACCUUCUUUCUCCACUCUAACUAGAUUAGUAAAUGAGCUCUUAAGGCCAAUCUUAUUGCGACAUUUUUAGUAGUGACCACUUAGAAUGUUUGACAGGCUACAAAGAAUGGGAAGAUGGAGUGCAAUUUUCACCUAAUUUGGAACUUACAUGGCUCAAUCUCGCGUUAUUGCUUAUUGGAAACCUCUAGGAUUUGGCAAGUGAUCAUAUUGCAGUUGAACAAAAUAUUAUUUUUGUCAGAACUGACAGUCAUAGAGUAGUGAAAAAUUAGACCAAUGGGACAAGCCCAACUCCUACUGACAAACAAACAUAGAAAAAAGAGAGAGAACCAGAGAUCUGAACAGUAAUUACUUGCUCGGCAUUGGAGCUAUCAUGCUAAUUGUUUCAGGUUUGGAAGGAAACACGUUGGAGUUGCUAUAUCGGUUUCACAUCAAAAGAAAUGGAUGGCAGGCAUUGCACCUUGCCAUCGAUUGGUCCCAUCUAUUUGUUGCAAUCAACGACUGUACCUUACACAUCAAAGCCCCGUAUAUAAUAUUGAUUCGUAGUUCAUUCCCCGUUAAUAUUUUUUCAAACAUAGUCAAUUGCUAACAAUCCUACCCAAACUUGCUUGGGACUAAAGGCUUUGUUGUUGUUGUUGUAUAGUCAAUUGCUAACAAUAACUUGAUUAAGUUGCUAUAAUAUGGGUAGAGGAGGCAUCUUUCGGGUAGAAAUUGCAUCUCAGUUCUCUUCUGUAGAUCUGAAUACAAUAUACACUCAUAUUUGCAUCCUCUAUUGCCGUUUUAUGCUCUUUGUUUGUGUUCUUUAUUGCCAGUUUAUAGUCUUUGUGUUGAUUUAUGCAUUGUCAUUUUAUAUAUAAUCUUUUCUACAAGGAGAUGUGAGGACCUUCUUUAUUAGAAAAUACCCAUUGAGAGUAUUGACAGUUAUCUGAAGCAGAUCAACUGAGUUGUUCCUUUAAUAUUUUUUAACAAAACAAAUGCAGGCUUAUGUUUCCGAAGAAAUUACCAUGUGAGAAUUCUCUACACCUCUAGUUUAGAUGCUGCACACGGCACUUGCCUCUUCUAGUUAGAUCUAUUUCGUUGUGUGUUAUCUCUCACAUUUCUUUCCCUGGAGGUCCUCGAAUGAAUAUUUGGUGGUUAUAGUAGCAUAUAUAACACAUCUUUGGAUGUAAACCACUGGAUACCUGGAAGGCAAUAUUGGUUUGGUACGAUUAUCCAUUAAACUCAUACCUAAGUAUUUCAUGGGUUGGCCUCUUUCCCUCUACCAGAACUCUACUUAUUUCACUUGUUAUGCAUCUUAUGUUUUCUGAUUAGGUGACAAACAGCUUAUUCCUUUAUGCUUCAACAUGUACUGCAGGGCUCUCCAGUUACUCAAUCGAAACUUUAAAGGUAAGUUCCUUACUUUCCUUCUUGCUAUAAUUUCAACAAUUAUGUGUCACUUAUGAUGAUAGGGUGGAAACCGCAGUUAGUCUUAAUUAGCAAAUAAGACUUGGUGUUCAAUCAGAAAGUUGUUGCCAAAUAAAUACUUCUGAGUCUGAAACCAGUUAUUUCACUGCAAGAUUACUAGAAGUGCUAAUAUUCCAAUAUGCCACAUUUUAUGCUAAGUGUUUUUUAAUUAAUGUUCUUGCUAGGUAUUGUCCACUAUACAUUCAAUAAAAAUAAAGAGUUAUGCAUGUACUUGGUAGUGGUUUACUCUUCUUCAGGUUGCAAAAAGGCAACACUUCUUUGUGCUACUUGCAAUUUUUUAUGUUGUGUCACGAUGAUUGGCAUUCAAUUCAUAACUAAAUUCUCUCUAUUUAUUCUGCUUAUUAUAGGUCACAAUUUCAUUUCAGUCGCCAUUCAUUCUUUGUGAUUCAGUUUUGGUUUGUUGCUCAUGUAGUUUGAAUAUAAAUUCAUUGUCUGUUUUUAAUGCUUCUUAUCACCAUUGUUUCACGGGUCUGUUAGCAAGGUAGAAGGUGAGAUGGUAUGAAUAAACAUGAACACCAUGUUUUUACAGUUAUUAUUACUAUAAAUGAUUAUCACAACUGCAAAACAGUUGUCUUGCUAGUAUGUCUUAGUAGAUUACUAUGGCCCCGUUUGGUUUGGACUUUUUAGCCGGAUUCCGCAGCCCGGCAGCCAAAUCUUAGCCAAAGAGCGAACCAACCAGCCCCGAUUCUAGCGAAGCGAAGCCAAAAAUACAUGCACGAGCGGCAGCAACCCACGAGGUGCUUUCUCGGCUUCCGUUGUGUGCCUCUUUGAACCUACCCCCGAUGCGUUAGUAAAAUUACCCCUUUGCCACUGUAUGGGUCGACCCAGAGCCAUGACCGAUCCCGGGUACCACGACAGAAAUCAUCUCGCCUCUUGUCUCCCUCUCUUUGGCGAUUAGGGUUGCCCCCACGCCGCCGCCUGGGGCUGACCACCGGCCUGGUCCCUCGUCCUGGCCAGCGUGCCGUCGAACGCCUCCACCCCCAUCCUCCUCCGUCCCCCAUCCGCCCUAAGAAGAUCUCCACUCCGCCGCCAGGAGCACUUCUGCUGCCCCUGCCGCUGCAAAUAAGGGGAGAGGACCACCGGCUAGCCAGCACAGUCGGACGCCUCCAUCCCCCCAUCCGUCGGACGAGCUUCUCCACCCAUCCAAGCUGCCCCACCGCAAGCUAGCUCGCUGAAGGUACUUCCGAAUGUUUUUACAGCUAUUAUUACUAUAAAUGAUUAUCAAAACUUCAAAACGGUGCGGCCCAGUACACUGGCCAACGUCUCAUCCGGACGUCGCCAGCCGCCAGACGCCGCUGCCUUGCCGGCAGGGCCGCCGCCCCAGGAACCGCAGGCCUCCGAUGUGAUCUGGUCCACAGGCCAACGAGAUCGAUCUGAGCGCCGAGAUCCCCGCCGCCACCUUCCCCGGUGCCCGCGCGGGCUUUCCAGGCGGCCGUCUCCGAUGGCGACAAGGAGGGAAGGGGGCUGAAGGGGUGGCUGGGCGGCGAUCCCUAAUCGCCCUAGAGUCGCCCUAGGGGCGACGCGAGGGCCACGGUCGCGUAACUCCCCGUCAAACGCGAGCAACAACUUGUGUACACAGCACAUUACUCCUCUUUAUAUGUUUGUAUACAUUGAAAAGAUAGGAAACAGAGAAUAUUAUUUUUUAGUCGAUUCAUGGAAUAAAGAGGGGUAGUAAGUUGUAGCAGCAAAGGGUUUCAGUUCACUCCAUGCUUGAUACGGAAGCGGAGUAGAGCAUCUGAGUUUCCUUAUGUAUGCUCAUCUCUGCGAAAAGAAAAGCUUCUUCGAGAAGCAAGCUCAUGUAUGUAGUGAAAUUGGAGCUUCUUCGAGAAUUAGUGGUGUAUGCAUCAGAAUAAACUUCUUCGAGAAUCAAUGGUGUGUGCAUCAGAAUAUAAUCGAUGGCGUGUGCAGCAACAGAAGCUUAGUUUAGUGUUGGAAGUAAAGAGGAAUGUAGAUGGCAAGUUAUAUGUGGAAGAAUUUGGUUGAUUUCCACUCGGUUCAGUGAAACGUACUCUGUUUUCUUUGUGCUAAGUGUUUUUUUAUUAAUGCUCCGUGCUAAGUAUUGUCCACUAUAUAUUCAAUAAAAAAUAAAGAGUUAUGCACGUAUUACUCGGUAGUGGUUUACUCUGCUUCUUCAGGUUGCAAAAGGUAACACUUCUUUGUGCUACUUGCAAUUUUUUAUUUUGUGUCAUGAUGAUUGGCAUUCAAUUCAUAACUAAAUUCUCUCUAUUUAAUAUUCUUAUUAUAGGUCAUAAUUUCAUUCCAGUCGCCAUUCAUUCUUUGUGAUCCAGUUUUGGUUUGUUGCUCAUGUAGUUUGAAUAUAAAUUCAUUGUCUAUUUUUAAAGCUUCUUAUCACCAUUGUUUCACAUGUCUAUUAGCACGGUGGAAGGUGAUAUGGUAUGAAUAAACUGCUUUCCCGGCUAGCAUGUCUUAGUAGAUUACUAUGGACCCAUUUGGUUUAGCAUUUUUGGACGGAUUCCGCUGCCUGGCAGCCAAAGAGCGAUUUGACUAGCCUCGAUUCUCGGAAAGCAAAGCCAAAAAUACAAGCACGAGUGGUAGUAGCCCACGAGGUGCUUUCCCGGCUUAUGAUGCGUGCCUCUUCGAACCUACCCCCGUUUCAUUGGUAAAAUUACCCACCUUUGCCACUGGAUGGGUCGACCCAGAGGCCAGGACCGAUCUGAGGAACACUCGCCUCUCAUCUCGCUCUCUCUAGUGAUUAGGGUUUCCCCACGCCGCCGCCAGGGGCUGACCACCGUCCUGGUCCCUUGUCUCAGCCGGCGCGCCGCCGAACGCCUCCAGCCCCAUCCUACUCCGUCCCCCAUCCACCCGAAGGGGAUCUCCACUCCGCCGCCAGGAGCACUUCUGCCGACCCUGCCGCUACAAAUCAGGGGAGAGAACCACUGGAUUGCCACUACAGUCGGGAGCCUCAAUCCCCCCAUCGACCGGACGGGCUUCUCCACCCAUCCUAUCUGCCCCACCGCAAGCUAGCCCACUGAAGGUACUUCCGAAUGUUUUACAGCUAUUAUUACUAUAAAUGAUUAUCAAAACUUCAAAAUUGUUGUCUUGCUAGCAUGUCUUAGUACAUUACUAUAUGAGGCCAUUGAUAGCUACACACACAAAAAGCAAACAAAAUGUCUGAUAUAGCAUAGACCAAUCACAUUGCUAGUUGGCCCCGUGGAGUGCACCUUUUCUUCUAGUUAGUAAAUAAAAGAUGAAACUUUACAUGGUUAGCAGGCUGCACACUCGUACUGGUCCUCAGUCCAAUCUCCUAAAAAGGAAAAGAUCUCAGCUCUCCACUUAAUUUUCCAAUCUCCAGCAUAACAGCGGUCGGAGAGAAAGGAGGAGUGGCGCCACCGGUGACUCCAGACCUCUCCGUCCCUGACAACGGCAACCAAAUAUUUGAGGUCAGGAAACCCCAUUCCCUUCAUCUCCUCAAUCUCCUAGAAAUAAUUUGUUUAUGUUAUUUCCUUGAGGAAAACCCUAGCUUGAUUUCCCCUCAUAACCCUAACCUUCCCUUACUACAACAGUGGAGUGGAGGGGGGGGGAGAGCGGGUGCUGAGAUAAGAGGAGGUAGAUAGGUGAUGAAUCCAGUUGAGAUUCCACACUGGUAACAUCCAGCUUCUGUGAAUUUGUUUCAGGUUCUCUCUCCUUAACUUUGUGAACGUUAUGUUGUAUGUCAAUUUGUUUUUGGGUGGCUGUUGUUGUUUCAGGUUCGAUCCCGUUCCCAACUCAGUGUGUGUGGAUGGAAAGAGGCUGCGACAAUCUGCAAUGCCUGUUGACCCCGUGUCCAAGGUGCUCGACGACGAUAACCUUCUCAUUGAGAUCCUCCUCCUAAUCGGCUACCCCACCACCCUCAUCUGCGCCUCUCUUGUCUGCAAACGUUGGUUCUGUCAUGCCUCUGACCCUGCCUUCCUCUGCCGCUUCCGCAAGCUCCACCCACCCUGCCUCCUCGGCGUAUAUUUCAAGACCAGGGCAAACCGCUCACGCUUUGUGCUGAUGCUACCGCAGCCCCCAGAGAAUAAUGCAGUCAUCAGCUGCGCAAGCUCCAGCCUGGAUGCACAUAAACUCAUCUUGGAUGAAUGCAAUGGCAUCAUCUUACCAAAACAUUUAACAACUGCGAUGAAGAACCCAGAUCAAUACAUAUAGUGCUCAACCCACUCUGCCCUGCAAGAGGCAUGGUUAUCGUACCUCCAUUCCCAUGCUACGGACGGCAGGACGGCUAUUUCUACAAGUUCUGUCAACUCCUAUUCGAAGAAGAAGGUGACGGCUUGUCAUACUUGUGUGUGCGGGGUGAACUUUCUAAUGAUGGAAGAAAAUCUACGGUGUAUGUGUAUAUGUUGCAAGAUGGUGUUUGGUGCUUGCAUACCUCAGCAACGACACAACUUCCUUGUCGGCCACAGAUACUGAAUCCUCUGCUCGUUGACAAUAAAAUCUACAUGGCGGCCACCCAGAGUGAAAUUCUUGUGUUGGAUUUGACAGCCUCAAGUUUCUCCACAUUUCAGGUCCCACAAGGGUUGGUUAUUGGUUACAAACGAACCAUGUUGUCACGGGCAUAUGAUAAUUCUGGUGUGUAUCUCAUUCAUUUGAACGGGCUUCAGCUUUGCAUCUGGCUGUGCACAGGGGACAACUGGUUGCUGGUGGAUACCAUCUGCUUGCGUGAGAUGUAUGCUAAAUUGAGGAUGCCUGAUCUCACAAAUUGGGUGUGGAUAAAUCAGGUGGGGGUAAAUGCUGAGUUUGUUUUCUUGAAGAUGGGUCGAUACCUAGUCUAUGUAGGCAUCAAGUGCAGGAAGUUGUGUAAAGUGUAUGAGAUGACAAGUGAGGAUCGAUGGUUGGGUCGUAUCCAUCCUUGUAUGAUGAUCUGGCCUCCUACAUUCCAUGCGCUCAAGGAUGGUCCUGCAAGGUUUGUUUUUUGGCCUUUGGGUGAUGUUAUUGUAUUUUCUUUUUGUGUGGUCGCAUUAGAAGCAUAGAUGAAACAUUUAUAAUAGGACGAUGAGGGUGUUCCCUGUGUAUGGGUGCUUGGUCGGCAUGCUGGGAAGAAAAAUGGAGGAACCGGGAAUAAGUAUGCGAAUUUAGAGGAAUGGGGGUUUGCUGCUGAACUAUGAUCCUCAAGAUAUCAUGUCUCAGAUUGUUAAUGUUGACUGUUUUCAGAAUGUUCUCUUAUAAUUGAGUUAAGGGGUUUUCCUGGAAGCAUUCUUGUGUUUAUGCAUCAAACAAUUUACACUGGCAUGCUUGUGUUUAUGCAUCUCUUCUCUUCUGAUUGAGAUGUAUCGCUACGAACUUCUUGCUCUUAUAUGCAAGGGUAUAAUAAUAUAAUCUAACAACUUGUGCGAUAGGUACCUGGUUGAUGUUCCUUUCACCCUCCUCUGUGGCCAUCCUGUAUGUUUUAGUUGGCAUUUAAUCUGUAUUUUUGGAAGAGUUCUUAUCAUUUUGACUUUUUCUUUCCGCGCGAGAAUCAUUUGACCUCAUAGUACAACCGGAUGUCUUUUCACUUGUUUUGAUCUUGUCACCAUUAAUGUCGCCAUCCUUAUUAUUGGUCUGUUUUGCUUGGAACAGCAAUGCCAUGUGAAGACGAGGAAGGCCUUGGAUCAAAGAAGAGCGACUGCGGCUGGGUCGUGCGGUAGCGAAAACCCCUCGUCUUAGAGAAGCGAGUGCAUUAUAUCUAUAUGUUAGCUGUGUUUUGAGUCGGAGACAAGUUAUUGCUCGGUAAUGGAUUGGGAUGGUGGAUAAAACUGGAUCGGGUGCUCCUAUUGUUGUUUUGAACAGACAUGUAUGUUUGUUUGAACAAGUUGUGUUUUUUUUUACUUUCCAGUGUAUUGUCCAUUGCAAAACCUAUGCUCGACUCCGUUAGCAACGUGCCUGUGGUAUCGAUCUGCUAGAUCAUAUUGAGGCAUUAGCAUUUGUUGCUAGAAGUAAGAAUAAGACAUUUAUUUUGAACAGACCUUUGUAUGUCUGUGUUGCCCAUGGAGUAACAAGAAGAUACUUUUAUGGAAUUACAGGAGCACAACAUCAAAAUCGUUUUUUUUUACUUUUUUUUUGCGAAAAACAUCAAAAUCGAAUGACCGUCAAGAAGAUAGUUAUAGAUUACUUGAUUGUAAUUCCUUGUUGUUCUUUACUCGAUGGUAUCCAUAUAUAAGCCCCCCAUUGUUUUUCACCACACC
rnacentral:lncRNA from 1 species